rnacentral:lncRNA from 1 species
AUCUAGAACACAGUUCUGAUGUUAGAGACCUUAAGUGAAAUAAGGUAUGGGUAUGUGAGCUGUGUGUGCUGCCCUUUACUAAGUCCUUAUGGUAGAUGUCUGAAUUAGAGUUGUUGCUCUCCUUCACAACGCAGAUACUUGCAAGUCUGUAAACAGAUUUGGCUAGGAUUAUUUGAUGAUAGAUCUUCAGCAAUUCCAGACUUCAGGGAUCCACAAAAAGUGAAAGAGUUUCUACAAGAAAAGUAUGAAAAGAAAAGAUGGUAUGUCCCGCCAGAACAAGCCAAAGUCGUGGCAUCAGUUCAUGCAUCUAUUUCAGGGUCCUCUGCCAGUAGCACAAGCAGCACACCUGAGGUCAAACCACUGAAAUCUCUUUUAGGGGAUUCUGCACCAACACUGCACUUAAAUAAGGGCACACCUAGUCAGUCCCCAGUUGUAGGUCGUUCUCAAGGGCAGCAGCAGGAGAAGAAGCAAUUUGACCUUUUAAGUGAUCUCGGCUCAGACAUCUUUGCUGCUCCAGCUCCUCAGUCAACAGCUACAGCCAAUUUUGCUAACUUUGCACAUUUCAA